GCCUCAGCCCUGGGCAGAGCAGCCUGACUGGGCAGUGAGAGGGUGACCUGAGGCCACUGUUCCUGUGUUCUGUCCCGACUCGACCUCGUGGAAAAGUCAAGGACAUAGAUAUGAUUAUUAUCAUCCUGAUGAAGGACAGGAAAUCAAGCCCCAAGGAUGAGUCCAAGGUCAAAUGUCUGGGAAGUGGAAGAA